rnacentral:misc_RNA from 1 species
UUUCCGUAGGUGAACCUGCGGAAGGAUCAUUACUAUAUAACCGAUGUGCUAGGGCUCUCGCUGACCCGAACGCCCGGCCAUGGCGGAAUGCCCUCACACCCACCCAUCUCACUCCCAUUUGCUCCACCGCAUGGCUCGUCCUUUUUCGUGUUCGCAAGGUGGCUUUCGUUUUUACCCAAACCUUUUAUGCAUUUUAGAUUGUCUUUUUUGUUUUUGCGAACACGUAAACACUACAACUUUCAAUAUCGUAUCUCUUGCCUCGCGCAUCGAUGAAGAAUG